AGUUAUAUAGUUUAAAUAAAACAUUAAUUUUGUAAAUUAAUAAUUAAUUUUAAUAAUUAUAUAACUU
rnacentral:tRNA from 1 species